CCAGGGUAUCUCAUAAGGUGCAUAUUGUGCCUUAACAUGCCCCCAUUUUUUCACCAAUAUAUGCCAAAGUAUGUGGUAAAAAAUAAUUUUGUACAUUUUUUACAUAUGGAUUGCAUUUUUGCUUGGCGUUUUGUAUAUUUCAUAUGUGCCACUAGUACAAGGACACCCCUAUUGUAUGUCUUUAGCACUAUUUCGUGAAGCUACAGUGCCAUAUAGGAGACCUGUCCUUUUCAGUAUUCACAGUAGAAUUUUGAGAGAUGGAUUUAAUGAGCCUUAGCUUCCAUUUGGGGUAUUAUAACAGUUUGACUGUUCAAAAAAAACCCACAAAGGCCUACCAUUUGUAAAAAUAGACACUCCAGGGUAUCUUAUAAGGUGCAUAUUGUGCCUUAACAUGCCCCCAUUUUUUCACCAAUAUAUGCCAAAGUAUGUGGUAAAAAAUAAUUUUGUGCAUUUUUUUACAUACGGAUUGCAUUUUUGCUGGGCGUUUUGUAUAUUUCAUAUGUGCCACUAAGUUCAAACCUCCCAAAUUAUGCUCAGCUAAGUCUUCUGAGUAAAAAGACACCCCCAAUGAAUG